rnacentral:rRNA from 1 species
CAUGUGGGAUUAGCUAGUUGGUGAGGUAAUGGCUCACCAAGGCGACGAUCCGUAGCUGGUCUGAGAGGAUGAUCAGUCACACCGGAACUGAGACACGGUCCGGACUCCUACGGGAGGCAGCAGUGGGGGAAUAUUGGACAAUGGGGGCAACCCUGAUCCAGCCAUGCCGCGUGUGUGAAGAAGGCCUUCGGGUUGUAAAGCACUUUCAGUGAGGAGGAAAGCAGUAUGGUUAAUACCGUUAUUGUGUGACGUUACUGGCAGAAGAAGCACCGGCAAACUCCGUGCCAGCAGCCGCGGUAAUACGGAGGGUGCGAGCGUUAAUCGGAAUUACUGGGCGUAAAGCGCGCGUAGGCGGUUUGUUAAGUCAGAUGUGAAAGCCCUGGGCUCAACCUAGGAACGGCAUCUGGAACUGGCAAGCUAGAGUACAGUAGAGGAAGGUGGAAUUUCACGUGUAGCGGUGAAAUGCGUAGAUAUGUGGAGGAACACCAGUGGCGAAGGCGGC